ACGCUUUUGUGGUUCUUAAGUGCGAGUGGAUUUUCAUGCCACUGUGUGAGCUGUGCCUCCCUCAAACCUUCUUUCUUACCAUGUCAGCACAUUACCUACCUAGUC